rnacentral:sRNA from 2 species
GGAAGUGUUUUCUAGGGUUCCGCGGAAUUCGUCCGGUCUGGUCCGAGAGAAAACCCACGGCGAAGAGCCGUGCACACGGAGGGAUAAAAGCCCGGGAGAG